rnacentral:rRNA from 1 species
GAUGAACGCUGGCGGCGUGCCUAAUACAUGCAAGUCGAGCGAACAGACGAGGAGCUUGCUCCUCUGACGUUAGCGGCGGACGGGUGAGUAACACGUGGAUAACCUACCUAUAAGACUGGGAUAACUUCGGGAAACCGGAGCUAAUACCGGAUAAUAUAUUGAACCGCAUGGUUCAAUAGUGAAAGACGGUUUUGCUGUCACUUAUAGAUGGAUCCGCGCCGCAUUAGCUAGUUGGUAAGGUAACGGCUUACCAAGGCAACGAUGCGUAGCCGACCUGAGAGGGAGAUGCGCCACUCUGAAACAGAGACACUGUACAGACCCCUACGGGGGGGAACAGGAGAAUAUCCUGCAAAAUGGGCAAAAGCCAGACAGAACCACGCCGUGAGUGAGAAGAGUCUUCUGAUCUUGUAACUCUCUGUUUAUGGAAAAAAACAAGUGUAUAAGUAUCUACACGUGUCGAGAGUAUCCCAAAAGAAAAAGCCGGGGCUCACUGCG